UGUUUCGGCUAGGGGGCCAUCCCGGCUUACCAACCCGAUGCAAACUGCGAAUACCGGAGAAUGUUAUCACGGGAGACACACGGCGGGUGCUAACGUCCGUCGUGAAGAGGGAAACAACCCAGACCGCCAGCUAAGGUCCCAAAGUCAUGGUUAAGUGGGAAACGAUGUGGGAAGGCCCAGACAGCCAGGAUGUUGGCUUAGAAGCAGCCAUCAUUUAAAGAAAGCGUAAUAGCUCACUGGUCGAGUCGGCCUGCGCGGAAGAUGUAACGGGGCUAAACCAUGCACCGAAGCUGCGGCAGCGACACUCAGGUGUUGUUGGGUAGGGGAGCGUUCUGUAAGCCUGUGAAGGUGUGUCGUGAGGCAUGCUGGAGGUAUCAGAAGUGCGAAUGCUGACAUAAGUAACGAUAAAGCGGGUGAAAAGCCCGCUCGCCGGAAGACCAAGGGUUCCUGUCCAACGUUAAUCGGGGCAGGGUGAGUCGACCCCUAAGGCGAGGCCGAAAGGCGUAGUCGAUGGGAAACGGGUUAAUAUUCCCGUACUUGGUGUUACUGCGAAGGGGGGACGGAGAAGGCUAUGUUGGCCGGGCGACGGUUGUCCCGGUUUAAGCGUGUAGGUGUGUGUUCCAGGUAAAUCCGGUUCACUUUAACACUGAGGCGUGACGACGAGGCACUACGGUGCUGAAGCAACAAAUGCCCUGCUUCCAGGAAAAGCCUCUAAGCAUCAGGUAACAUCAAAUCGUACCCCAAACCGACACAGGUGGUCAGGUAGAGAAUACCAAGGCGCUUGAGAGAACUCGGGUGAAGGAACUAGGCAAAAUGGUGCCGUAACUUCGGGAGAAGGCACGCUGACACGUAGGUGAAGUGAUUUACUCAUGGAGCUGAAGUCAGUCGAAGAUACCAGCUGGCUGCAACUGUUUAUUAAAAACACAGCACUGUGCAAACACGAAAGUGGACGUAUACGGUGUGACGCCUGCCCGGUGCCGGAAGGUUAAUUGAUGGGGUCAGCGCAAGCGAAGCUCCUGAUCGAAGCCCCGGUAAACGGCGGCCGUAACUAUAACGGUCCUAAGGUAGCGAAAUUCCUUGUCGGGUAAGUUCCGACCUGCACGAAUGGCGUAAUGAUGGCCAGGCUGUCUCCACCCGAGACUCAGUGAAAUUGAACUCGCUGUGAAGAUGCAGUGUACCCGCGGCAAGACGGAAAGACCCCGUGAACCUUUACUAUAGCUUGACACUGAACAUUGAGCCUUGAUGUGUAG
rnacentral:rRNA from 2 species